GCGCACGGGUGAGUAACGCGUAUCCAACCUGCCCCAUGCUCUGGGAUAACCUUCCGAAAGGGAGCCUAAUACCGGAUGUUGUGCGACGAUGGCAUCAGAAUUGCACGAAAGAUUCAUCGGCAUGGGAUGGGGAUGCGUCUGAUUAGCUUGUUGGCGGGUAACGGCCCACCAAGGCGACGAUCAGUAGGGGUUCUGAGAGGAAGGUCCCCCCACACUGGUACUGAGACACGGACCAGACUCCUACGGGAGGCAGCAGUGAGGAAUAUUGGUCAAUGGACGCGAGUCUGAACCAGCCAAGUAGCGUGCGGGACGAAGGCCCUAUGGGUUGUAAACUCCUUUUAUCAGGGGAUAAAGUGCACUACGUGUAGUGCUUUGCAGGUACCUGAUGAAUAAGGACCGGCUAAUUCCGUGCC
rnacentral:rRNA from 1 species